AUUUCUUUAGCUUAAAUUAAAGCAUAACUCUGAAGAAGUUAAUAUUUAUAGAAAUA
rnacentral:tRNA from 1 species